rnacentral:rRNA from 1 species
CCUACGGGUGGCUGCAGUGAGGAAUAUUGGUCAAUGGGCGCGAGCCUGAACCAGCCAAGUCGCGUGAGGGAAGACGGUCCUAUGGAUUGUAAACCUCUUUUGUCGGGGGGCAAAAGCCGCCACGCGUGGCGUUCCGAGAGUACCCGAAGAAAAAGCAUCGGCUAACUCCGUGCCAGCAGCCGCGGUAAUACGGAGGAUGCGAGCGUUAUCCGGAUUUAUUGGGUUUAAAGGGUGCGUAGGCGGAAUAUCAAGUCAGCGGUAAAAAUUCGGGGCUCAACCCCGUCGUGCCGUUGAAACUGAUGUUCUUGAGUGGGCGAGAAGUAUGCGGAAUGCGUGGUGUAGCGGUGAAAUGCAGAGAUAUCACGCAGAACUCCGAUUGCGAAGGCAGCAUACCGGCGCCCAACUGACGCUGAAGCACGAAAGCGUGGGUAUCGAACAGGAUUAGAUACCCUGGUAGUC